AUGCUGGCGCAAGAAUACCAACAUUCAAAACUCGUGAAUCUAAACAGUGCAGACACGGGUGCAAAUCUACUAGCUGUACAGGAUAUACUUGCAGUCGAAGAGUACCUUAUGGCACCAUCGGCUUUACAAGAAGUGCUGGAAACAUUCAAGACACUUUAUGGCAAUCCACAUAUGUUCAUUUAUGAAAAUGGCCAAUGGGCAGCAAGCAAUGCAUCACUCCAUGAUGUAUCGAGGGUGGAAUAA